rnacentral:rRNA from 1 species
UACGAAGGGGGCUAGCGUUGCUCGGAAUUACUGGGCGUAAAGGGCGCGUAGGCGGCCAGUUUAGUCAGAGGUGAAAGCCCAGGGCUCAACCUUGGAAAUGCCUUUGAUACUGGCUGUCUUGAGUUCGGGAGAGGGGAGUGGAAUGCCGAGUGUAGAGGUGAAAUUCGUAGAUAUUCGGCGGAACACCAGUGGCGAAGGCGACUCACUGGCCCGAUACUGACGCUGAGGCGCGAAAGCGUGGGGAGCAAACAGG